GACGAACGCUAGCGGCAGGCUUAAUACAUGCAAGUCGAGGGGCAGCACGGGUAGCAAUACUGGGUGGCGACCGGCAAACGGGUGCGGAACACGUACACAACCUUCCUUUUGGUGGGGGAUAGCCUUUGGAAACGGAGAUUAAUACCCCAUAAUACAGGGGGCCCGCAUGGGUCUAUUGUUAAAGAUUUAUUGCCAGAAGAUGGGUGUGCGUCUGAUGAGGUAGUUGGUGGGGUAAAGGCCCACCAAGCCGACGAUCAGUAACUGGUGUGAGAGCACGACCAGUCACACGGGCACUGAGACACGGGCCAGACUCCUACGGGAGGCAGCAGAGGGGAAUAUUGGACAAUGGGCGCAAGCCUGAUCCAGCCAUGCCGCGUGCAGGAAGAAGCAUCUAUGGUGUGUAAACUGCUUUUGUACAGGAAGAAACACCCCGACGUGUCGGGGCUUGACGGUACUGUAAGAAUAAGGAUCGGCUAACUCCGUGCCAGCCGCCGCCGUAAAAC
rnacentral:rRNA from 1 species